AUUUAUGUCCGAUUUAAAUAUCGCGCCAAUAUUUCGAACUGAACUGUCAACUGCCUCCCAGCGGGGACACGGCUCCUUAUAUACUCGACUGAGCAUGGUUUGGGAAGUUUCGCUCAUUUUCCACGCGUCUCCAGCGACGUCGUGCGGUGUGCCCGAUUGCCCGCUCGUUUUAUUUUAGAAUGCCGGAGAACAUCUAGUUUUUACGGCGUUGCCAAUAUUAUUCCACAGAUGAAAUAACAAUCAACGCUUUUCUCCAGAGAACGACGUUUGAAAGUAUAACAGCACACCAGAACUUGCAUGCUUGUAGACCUGAAGACCACUUCUAACAUGCUGCGAAUCAUCCUCCAGUCCAGAUCAUCGAGUUGGCAUGCGAGUUUGGGAAUUGCUAAGCUUCUCAGACCGUCGGCAAGUAACUCGUCCUUUAGAGAAUAGACAAACCGUCUCAAACGUCCUUAUAGGUUGGCUUCUGAUGUGAUGGUAACCAGGUGCCGCUGAAGGACACCGUCAGUAUGACGAUAGAAGAAACCAAAGCAAAAUAGAUUAACGUUGAUAGAAACUAUAACUAUGUCUUGCCCGUAUCAACAGAUCUAUCACCUAAAUACAUGCUUUGG